UACGUAGGUGUCGAGCGUUGUCCGGAUUUAUUGGGCGUAAAGCGCCCGCAGGCGGCUUGGCAAGUUCGAGGUGAAAUCUCCCGGCUCAACUGGGAGGGUGCCUCGGAAACUGCCAGGCUUGAGGCAGGGAGAGGGAUGUGGAAUUCCACGUGUAGCGGUGAAAUGCGUAGAGAUGUGGAGGAACACCGAUGGCGAAGGCAGCCUUCUGGGCCAACACUGACGCUCAUGCACGAAAGCGUGGGGAGCAAACAGG
rnacentral:rRNA from 1 species